UAUUUUAAUGCUUUACAGUUUAUAUCAGAUCCCAAGCAAUUCUUCAGUGCCUUCACCGGCCUCCUCAAAUUCAGGGAGGGCAGCCAGUGCUUUUGGAAGUUGGCUGAAGGAAUUCCACCUCCUCCUUCAGAGACCAUGCCGUGGAUCCUUAGGGGAAGGACUGAAUAGAGCUUUAAUUGGUGAAAGGAAGGACCAGCUUUGAACAUGAACAAGGACCAGUCUUGAGCAUGAACCAGGAGCUGCAACCAGGCGUCCCCACCAUGAGAACAUUCCUACACAGCAUCAUAAAUGUGGAAGUUUGCAUCAGUGCAUGAAUGAACGCCCCUGCCAAGAUGAUCCAAGGCGCCUAACUGCUGCUGCAAGCUGAACUCAAAGAUGCUGAUGUGUGUAACUGUAGUGAUGGGUUUAU